rnacentral:rRNA from 1 species
CCCUUAGAUGUCCUGGGCCGCACGCGUGCUACACUGACACCUGCAACGAGUUAUUCCAGCUCCGAAAGACAGUUGGUAAUCAGAAAUAGGUGUCGUGAUGGGGAUAGACCCUUGGAAUUAUGGAUCUUGAACGAGGAAUGCCUAGUAAGCGCACGUCAUUAGCGUGCGCUGAUUAAGUCCCUGCCCUUUGUACACACCGCCCGUCGCUCCUACCGAUUUCGAGUGGUCCGGUGAGCCUUUUGGAGAGUGAGCGUCCUUGAGGCGCUUGCUCGAAGUCAGGCAAAUCUUACUACUUAGAGGAAGGAUAAGUCGUAACA